rnacentral:piRNA from 1 species
UCCUAGUGUGCUGGGUAGUGGAGGC